UACGGAGGGUGCAAGCGUUAUCCGGAUUCACUGGGUUUAAAGGGUGCGUAGGCGGCGCGGUAAGUCGGGUGUGAAAUCUCGGAGCUUAACUCCGAAACUGCAUUCGAUACUGCCGUGCUUGAGGACUGGAGAGGAGACUGGAAUUUACGGUGUAGCGGUGAAAUGCGUAGAUAUCGUAAGGAAGACCAGUGGCGAAGGCGGGGUCUCUGGACAGUUCCUGACGCUGAGGCACGAAGGCCAGGGGGAGCAAACGGG
rnacentral:rRNA from 1 species